rnacentral:tRNA from 1 species
GACAAAUUAGCUCAUUGGUAAAGUGCAUGUCUAGCAUGCAUGAGGUCCUGGGUUCAAUCCCCAAUAUCUCC